UGCACUCUGGGAUAAGCCUGGGAAACUGGGUCUAAUACCGGAUAGGACCUUCGGCCGCAUGGCUGGGGGUGGAAAGUUUUUCGGUGCAGGAUGAGCCCGCGGCCUAUCAGCUUGUUGGUGGGGUAAUGGCCUACCAAGGCGACGACGGGUAGCCGGCCUGAGAGGGCGACCGGCCACACUGGGACUGAGACACGGCCCAGACUCCUACGGGAGGCAGCAGUGGGGAAUAUUGCACAAUGGGCGCAAGCCUGAUGCAGCGACGCCGCGUGAGGGAUGACGGCCUUCGGGUUGUAAACCUCUUUCACCCAUGACGAAGCGCAAGUGACGGUAGUGGGAGAAGAAGCACCGGCCAACUACGUGCCAGCAGCCGCGGUAAUACGUAGGGUGCGAGCGUUGUCCGGAAUUACUGGGCGUAAAGAGCUCGUAGGCGGUUUGUCGCGUCGUCUGUGAAAACCCGCAGCUCAACUGCGGGCUUGCAGGCGAUACGGGCAGACUCGAGUACUGCAGGGGAGACUGGAAUUCCUGGUGUAGCGGUGAAAUGCGCAGAUAUCAGGAGGAACACCGGUGGCGAAGGCGGGUCUCUGGGCAGUAACUGACGCUGAGGAGCGAAAGCGUGGGUAGCGAACAGGAUUAGAUACCCUGGUAGUCCACGCCGUAAACGGUGGGCGCUAGGUGUGGGUUUCCUUCCACGGGAUCCGUGCCGUAGCCAACGCAUUAAGC
rnacentral:rRNA from 1 species